GAUGAACGCUGGCGGCGUGCUUAAUACAUGCAAGUCGAGCGAACAGACGAGGAGCUUGCUCCUCUGACGUUAGCGGCGGACGGGUGAGUAACACGUGGAUAACCCACCUAUAAGACUGGGAUAACUUCGGGAAACCGGAGCUAAUACCGGAUAAUAUAUUGAACCGCAUGGUUCAAUAGUGAAAGACGGUUUUGCUGUCACUUAUAGAUGGAUCCGCGCCGCAUUAGCUAGUUGGUAAGGUAACGGCUUACCAAGGCAACGAUGCGUAGCCGACCUGAGAGGGUGAUCGGCCACACUGGAACUGAGACACGGUCCAGACUCCUACGGGAGGCAGCAGUAGGGAAUCUUCCGCAAUGGGCGAAAGCUUGACGGAGCAACGCCGCGUGAGUGAUGAAGGUCUUCGGAUCGUAAAACUCUGUUAUUAGGGAAGAACAAAUGUGUAAGUAACUAUGCACGUCUUGACGGUACCUAAUCAGAAAGCCACGGCUAACUACGUG
rnacentral:rRNA from 1 species